CACAUGAUACUUGAAAUCUUCUCGCCAAACACACCUAAUAAAGGCAGCGCCAGAAGCCAAGAUAAUUCCUUGGGUCACUUCUCUCAUCUUCUCCCAACCAUUUUUCAGCAAUCCUCUUCUCUAUUGUUUUAUCUCCUUGUGCUAUUCUUUCACCUGUCUCAAAUCUUCAGCAAAAAGAGUGAGGCAGGCAAUUAUCUAAUCUUAUUCCCCAUUAGAAUUCUAGAUAUAGGAUUAUAAAAGAACUCCCUUCCGGGUUUGGGAAGAGAUAACAAGGCAUCUUGUGGUUCAAACAUCUUGCGCUUGGUGUGGUUAGUGCUCUCUUUCAGCAUAAGCAGCUCACGUCACAGGUUUCUCGCGAGGACACUAAUCAUGGCAGCCUUCUUUCAGAUCUCAGAUUCUGGGAAGCAUGGAUUCCUUCAAAGCUCCUGAUCUUGGCUCCAGAUUAUUAAAUAAAACUUGCAAUCACAGUAAAUGCAUUGAGUUUUUUAAUUAUCAGUCGAGUACCAUUAACUCAUUUUGUGAUAGAAACUCACGGCUAGGAAGAUCAAAUGGGAAGCAGCAUGAGAGGAACCAGAAUGGCAACCAGUUCAGGCACGAGGCUUUCGAAAACCCAACCACAAGAGCCCGACCUCAAAUCUGAUCCAUCCACCUAUUUCAACAUGGAAUCCUUUCUGCUACUCCUCUUCCUCACUGCAUCACUGUUGAUACUUCCUCUCAUACUACCUCCCUUGCCUCCUCCCCCUUCCAUGUUGCUUCUGGUUCCCAUUGGUCUUCUCCUUGUACUUUUGAUUCUAGCUUUUAUGCCUACAGAUGUACGUAACAUUGCGCCCUCUUACCUAUAAAUAUGGUGUAUAAGCUCUCACUUUCCACACGAAGAGUUCAGCAUAUCUCUUCCUUUAUUUUUUUGAAUGAUACCAAAAAACAAAAAUGCUCCCAACAAGCAAAUCGAUAUGCUUAAGCUGAGACCCUUGCAAUAGUUUCUUUGGAGGAUGAAUAAAUGAUUCUGUAAGUCAUAACUUUUGCAACAAGAAGAAAAAUAGCUCCAGCUGUGAAUCACGAGGCUCCUGGAAAAAUGAACAGACUGCAAAUAUGCAGUUUUGUCAGAGAAUAUCUUAAAUGUCAUGGACUAAAACUCGUAAAUAACCAGGAAGGUUUUGUUUUGUCAACAAAAGAGAGAUUGCCUUUUCAUAUGUUAGUUGUUUAUUCUUCUGCAUCAUGUAAUUAUAGAUAUUGAAAAGAAAAGAAUCAAUCUCCAAAAGUGCAAUUUAUUGGAAGAAACCCCCACAGUUGGAGCAGGAAAAAGUUUGGUAAAACAUAUUUUGUCCAGGUUAGUUGUUUAUCAUGAAUGCAAGAAAAAAGAAGUGUCCUUGAGGAAUGGAUUAUAGGAAGAGGUUAGUAUCAAUGUAAGAACUGAGAGGAAAGGAUCGAUGAGUUUAGUUGUAAAUCUAUUCAUAUAUUCCCAUGGGCGCCAGCAGAUACACACACACACGACAACCUCACAUAACAACUCUAUCACAGUAUACUAGAUUUUUCAGUAGCCUGCAUAGCGAGUUGUUUUUCUUUCCUCAAACUCAAUUCUGAGCUAGAAUGCAACUACAAAUUUGGAACAAGUCAUACUAUUAUACGAAUAGCAUUGAUGGGCAAAGAUAUUCUUAAUAUAAUUCACGUACCUAAUUCAUAUUUGUUUUAUUGUGCAUCACACAGGUUAUGCCAAUAUUUUCCUAACUGCAUUGGUUAUUUGAGAGCAUGAUCAUCCUUACCUACCAAUUCCAUUAUGUUCGUUUGGUCUUUUAGUGAACGUUCAAGCAUGAAUAAAAAAAAGGUGGCAGAGUUUCUCUAGAAGCUAGUAAAAUAUACAAGUACUAAGUGGACAAAGACUACAAUGAACUCCUAAAAGAAGGUUGAUUAUGUCGACUGUUUUUAUCAAUGAAUUAUAGAUUCAAAUGCAUGUGUUUAAUGCCAUCAACAUCCCAAUCCAUGCCUUUAUCCUCACUUCAGAAUAGCAUUGUUUGAUAGGUCUAUAUUCCUAGCGACACAAAUUAUUCAAUUGAUAAAUGCUGGAUGGCUGCAUAUGCUAGCUGCAUGAUACUGACGUCCAUAAUCUAAUUACAUGACAUCCUAAUUUAGUUUCACAAUAGUUGUGAACUGACAAAGAAAAUUUAUGACUAUCAGAGUGAAUGCCAUUAAUUUGGGAAUGUGUUUUUUAGGUUAAUUCAAAAUUCAAGACCACAUUCAUUAGUCAUCAACUCAUAAUUUUUCAUAUGAUGCUAAAUUUAGCAUGUCACCACCCAUCCAAGUAGCAAUGGUAGGCAACAGCCCCCACAGAAGUGGUGCAGUGAUAAAGCAUUCAAAGGAACAAUAAGAGGAUCAGGAUUUGAAUUCCAAAUGAUACGAAUAUCCUAAAGGUCGAUUUCUGAAUAUGUAAAAGUUGUGUUUUGAAUAUACCCGGCUUCAGAUUUACCAGGUAGGCAAACCAAAAAAGGAGACCAUGUAGAUUAAUUGGUUCUCAAAUAGGAAGUGUUCUUUGCGGACAGAUGUUAGUCAAUGACAUACACCUGAAGCCAAACUGCUGUGAUAGGUGUUGCCUCACGGACCUUUAGAUUUCAGUGACAAACUUGUUUCAAUGGGGUGAUGGGGUUGCAUGAAAUGUUCGAUAGAUAUGGGAUACAUGUUAACAUGCGAAACAACAACAUUGUAUGCUCUUCACUAAGAAAGAUAACUCUAAGGAGAGAGGACACACAAUCAGUCUAUGCAGAAUGUACCAUAAGGAGUAAAACAGACCAAAGCAGAAAACAUAUAGAGGAACCAUAGGCAAUGGGAUCCUAAGAUGAAUUGUGUACCAGAACAAGUUUUCUUGGAUAACUGUCCAAUAUCUGAAUUUCCUUGAUAACUUGGUGCCUUCUGAAUUUCUAGUGAAACCGUCAUCUCUUACAAUUAGAAAAAUUAUUUUUGAGUAGCCUUACUAAACAUUCGUCUCUAUUUGUCAAAAAAAGGAAACAACAUGUACUCCUUUGGACUUCUCAUUUCCUAUAACUAUCAUCAAAAGAAAAUUAACCAUAAACUUUAUGCAUCUCAGGGCACUACAAGGUCAAGACAUGGCCUAUGGGAUUAAGAAAACUAGAUCAUCUAACCGUGAAGGUUGUUGAUAUUCCUAACACAGACAGGGUCAUGUGUGAAUUGACGGAUGCACAAUUACUAACUCUUGUAAUAGAAGAUUGAACUCAACCUCAUCAACAUCUUCAGGUGCCUUUUUUCUACUAGCCAUAAGCACAAGCACAUGAUCUGUGCAUGAGUGAUAUUUAUAGUAUUUAUGAGGUUAUCGCUCAAAUCUGAUAUCGACGACCUGCUACAGCGAAUUUCAUCAUGUCAAACAGAUGCUCGAGUUAUGCAAGGUGGCCUUAAAGCACCUUGCUAUUAUUUUCCUCCAUAUUGUGUACCUUGAACUGUUGCAGGCAU